rnacentral:rRNA from 1 species
GAAUUAAGCAUAUAAGUAAGUGGUGGAAGAGAAACUAAACAUGAUUCUUUAAGUAAUGGCGAAUGAACAAAGAAGUGUUCAUUUUGAAAAUUGUGGUCUGUGAUCAUGAAUUGUAAUUUCAAAAUGCAUUGCUAACAAAACUGCACAUGGUGGUUUUUUGGAAAGAACAUUGCAAAGGGUGAAAAUCCCAUGUGUCAUUUGUAUGUUUUGUAUACAGUGUGCAUUUCAUGAAUCACAUUCAUUGACAAUUGAAUGUAAAUUGAAUGGUAAAUUUCAUUUAAACAUGAAUAUGUUGUUGACAACUUAUAGCAAACAAAUACCAUGAGGGAAAUAUGAAAAGGAUUUUGAAAAGAAAAUUAAAAGAGCUUGCAAUUGCUGAAUUGAUAAGCAAACAAAACACAUGUGUGUGCAAGAUUGUUGUAAUGUUUUGCAUUUUAUGCAAUCACAUUACCAUGGUUUUUGUGUGUUUUGUCAUCUCUCAAAUCUGAAAUGAUUUUUUUGAAAUGUGAUUGGAAUUUUGUUUGUUAACAAAGGAAUGCAUUUUCAAAGCUUAUUGUUUGAUUUGACAAACAUGUUUGUAACAUGUCAUGUGUGUCUGUGUGUGCUUCAUUGUUGAUUCAACUAAAUGAUGAUGUGUUUGAUACAUCAAAGACAAUACAUGUUUUGUUUGACCCGUCUUGAA